AACGAACGCUGGCGGCAGGCCUAACACAUGCAAGUCGAACGCUCCGCAAGGGGAGUGGCAGACGGGUGAGUAACACGUGGGAAUCUUCCUAUUGGUUCGGAAUAGCUCAGGGAAACUUGGGGUAAUACCGUAUAAGCCCGUGAGGGGAAAGAUUUAUCGCCGAUAGAUGAGCCCGCGUCUGAUUAGCUAGUGGGUGAGGUAACGGCUCACCAAGGCGACGAUCAGUAGCUGGUCUGAGAGGAUGACCAGCCACACUGGGACUGAGACACGGCCCAGACUCCUACGGGAGGCAGCAGUGGGGAAUAUUGGACAAUGGGCGCAAGCCUGAUCCAGCCAUGCCGCGUGAGUGACGAAGGUCUUCGGAUUGUAAAACUCUUUUGCCAGGGACGAUAAUGACGGUACCUGGAGAAUAAGCCCCGGCUAACUUCGUGCCAGCCGCCGCCGUAAUAC
rnacentral:rRNA from 1 species